UCUCUGUGGUAAGGCCGGCCACUCACCAGGUCAAAGUGCAGCCAUCAAGGCUAAAAUAUAUGCAAUUCCACCCAGGCUCACUCAUUAGAAGGUGAAUUUAUUUUGAUAGUUGGGACCAUUCCCAAAUAAACAACAAAUAAAACCUCAGCCUUACAGGACAAGCUAAGUAGAUGACGCUGGAAAAUACCAUUUUUCCACAACAAACAGUCUACUAACAACCAACUGCAGUAACAAUCUUGUCUAGACGCCUGCUUCAUGUACUCAAUUAUAAUUUUUUUGAGAUGGGGAAAAUCUGAAUUAAGAUUAAAAUGUGAAAUUAGCACUCAUUUUUAAGGCACGGGAAUGGCAUUCUUGUCAUAUAAGAUAGCGUUAGUGUUUUAAUAGUCUCCUAAUUAAAUAUUUAUAUUGAAGAGGACUGGAAUAACAUGACAGAGUCACUAGGAUUUGUGUUAAAAGAGAAAAAAAGGCAAAAAGAAGGAUAGCUGGAACAAGAGGCUGAGAAUCACAGUUGUUGAAUCCAGCCCAGGAAUAUAGGCAGCUAGCUAUACUAUUCUCUCCAUUGAAAGCAUGCGUGGAACAAUUAAAAAACAGUUCCGCCGAAAUAAAACUAGUUUCUUACCAUUUGCAGUUCCUGAAACAUCUCUAGGUGGAAAGCUCUCAUCUCUUGUUAAUUCUUCCUUCAAGCUAAUGCAUAGGAGACAGCCUCCAUCUGUGUACCACGGAUACAUCACCUGCUCUUUCUGACAUAUUACAGCUGCAUCAGGAAAGUGAUGGGUGUGUCUAAAGUGUGUCCUCUGUACUCAUGUUAAAGACCCAACCUUAGUGCCUCAGAAAGUGUAUCUGUAAAAAUAUAACUAAGGUGAAAGGACCUUAUGUGGGCAGCUAUGGAGCUUUGUGUUUGGGGAUAUAGAGUUUUCUGGGAAGGUGAUUAGGUUAGAUUGAGACAGUGGGUAGACAUUAGCAUAGUUGGUGUCUUUGUGAUAAAGAGAAACACCAAGGCACAAAGACAGCAACCAUAGAGACAGCUAGAGGUGACUAUCCACUGGCCAGGCACUGAGGCUUCAAAGGGGACCAGUCCCACUGGCACCUUGAUCAUGAACUUCAGCCUUCAAAGCAGAAAGAUGGAAGUUUGUAUGUUUGAACCUUUAGCCUGUGGCCCAGGCAUACUGGUCCAGGAUGGGAUGGAGGUGGGGGCCUGCAUUCAUUAGCUGCUGGAGGGCACCCCAGGCUGCUCUCCCUUUUCCCAACAAGAACUUCACUCCUUGCUAGGAUCUCCCCUCCUGUUCUCUUUGUUUCCAGAGUACAGGAGUGAAACCAUGGCUCUGGUUGUCUUGCAUCAGCCAAAUUGCUGCCUGAACCCCGGAUUGUAACUUCUCCUUCCAGAACUUACCAUAUCUCGUUCACACACAAAUUACCCCUGGGAGAUUAUAGAAAUUUAAAAAUAAAUAAAUAAACUUCUUGAGGGAUUACAAUACAAUAGUAGCCUAUAAUUCUUCUUUCAUUGCUACUGAAAGAGAAAUGGUGCCCAAUAAGUAAAGCCUUUAUUAUAUCUUAGAAGAAAGAAAGCUCUUAUUUCUGGUUCAGAGAUUCAACAUCAUGGCAUUUAUAAUUAUAUUCUGGAGUCAACAUUGUUAAAAAUUUGGGCUUUCAUGCUAAAAAGUGAUUUUUUAAAAAAAAAAUAUAUAAUUACCUACUAAUUCUUCCCAAAUGGUAUGACUUGCCUUUUUUCUCUCUUUUUUUGAAUCAUAACUCAUCUUAAACAAUCUAUUUUUUUUUCUUUUUAGAGGAAGUCUAAAAUAACACAUGGGUGUCUCGGCCUUGGCACAGCUAAACCCUGGAACAUUGAACUGAAGUCAUAACAAUGGGUAAUAUUUUAAUAUAAUGAAAAAUUAUCAUUAACUUUUCUCGACAGGAAGGAAAUGAAUUUUCCUCAUUGUACACAUUCCGAGAAAAAUGAGGCUAAGACUAUUUCAAAGGAUGUUCUACCUAAUUCGAAUGGGCUUUAAGUGCCAUCUUCACAAUAGCGCCAGAGUCUGGUGUCAGCAAACUGAACAAAUAGAGCUACAGGGAGCGAAUGGGGCUGGGUGCCUCUCCAAAACAUAUGCAGAUGAACUUGAGAUUUCAGAGGACGGUUAAUCCUACACAGCAGUCAAGUGCCUUCCCAGGGGGCUCCCUUCCAAACACUGGCUGCCACGUCAAACCAAAGGGGACGAGCAAUCAGACUCACCUCAAACGCCAGUUAAGAAAGCCGGCCUUACUUAAGCAAUCAAGGGCAAGUGAUCAGCCAACUCUGCUUUCUUUCCUUUCUCUUGGAUCAUUUAUAGACCUUGUGGCCGUGGCCACCACAUUGAGAAGCCCUUGGUCUCUACUUGGACUCACUAUAGCAGGU
rnacentral:lncRNA from 1 species